rnacentral:rRNA from 1 species
CUACGGAGGGUGCAAGCGUUACUCGGAAUCACUGGGCGUAAAGCGCGCGCAGGCGGCUUGAUAAGUUGGAUGUGAAAGCCUACGGCUCAACCGUAGAACUGCAUCCAAAACUGUCAAGCUAGAGUGUGGGAGAGGAAGAUGGAAUUAGUUGUGUAGGGGUAAAAUCCGUAGAGAUAACUAGGAAUACCAAAAGCGAAGGCAAUCUUCUGGAACACUACUGACGCUGAGGCGCGAAGGCGUGGGGAGCAAACAGGAUUAGAUACCCUAGUAGUCC